UCCUCCAAGGCUAAAUACUCCUGACUGACCGAUAGUGAACCAGUACCGUGAGGGAAAGGCGAAAAGAACCCCGGCGAGGGGAGUGAAAAAGAACCUGAAACCGUGUACGUACAAGCAGUGGGAGCCUCUUAAUGGGGUGACUGCGUACCUUUUGUAUAAUGGGUCAGCGACUUAUAUUCUGUAGCAAGGUUAACCGAAUAGGGGAGCCGAAGGGAAACCGAGUCUUAACUGGGCGUUAAGUUGCAGGGUAUAGACCCGAAACCCGGUGAUCUAGCCAUGGGCAGGUUGAAGGUUGGGUAACACUAACUGGAGGACCGAACCGACUAAUGUUGAAAAAUUAGCGGAUGACUUGUGGCUGGGGGUGAAAGGCCAAUCAAACCGGGAGAUAGCUGGUUCUCCCCGAAAGCUAUUUAGGUAGCGCCUCGUGAAUUCAUCUCCGGGGGUAGAGCACUGUUUCGGCAAGGGGGUCAUCCCGACUUACCAACCCGAUGCAAACUGCGAAUACCGGAGAAUGUUAUCACGGGAGACACACGGCGGGUGCUAACGUCCGUCGUGAAGAGGGAAACAACCCAGACCGCCAGCUAAGGUCCCAAAGUCAUGGUUAAGUGGGAAACGAUGUGGGAAGGCCCAGACAGCCAGGAUGUUGGCUUAGAAGCAGCCAUCAUUUAAAGAAAGCGUAAUAGCUCACUGGUCGAGUCGGCCUGCGCGGAAGAUGUAACGGGGCUAAACCAUGCACCGAAGCUGCGGCAGCGACACUAUGUGUUGUUGGGUAGGGGAGCGUUCUGUAAGCCUGUGAAGGUGGCCUGUGAGGGUUGCUGGAGGUAUCAGAAGUGCGAAUGCUGACAUAAGUAACGAUAAAGCGGGUGAAAAGCCCGCUCGCCGGAAGACCAAGGGUUCCUGUCCAACGUUAAUCGGGGCAGGGUGAGUCGACCCCUAAGGCGAGGCCGAAAGGCGUAGUCGAUGGGAAACAGGUUAAUAUUCCUGUACUUGGUGUUACUGCGAAGGGGGGACGGAGAAGGCUAUGUUGGCCGGGCGACGGUUGUCCCGGUUUAAGCGUGUAGGCUGGUUUUCCAGGCAAAUCCGGAAAACC
rnacentral:rRNA from 1 species